GAGAGAAAGGGAGAGCGAGCGAGAGAAAGGGAGAGCGAGCGAGAGCGAGCGAGAGAAAGCGAGAGCGAGCGAGAGAAAGGGAGAGAGAGAAAGAGAGAGAAAGGGAGAGAAAGGGAAAGAGGGAAAGGGAGAGAGGAAGAAAGGGAGAGCGAGCGAGAGAAAGGGAGAGAGAGCGAGAGAAAGGGCGAGAGAAAGGGAGAGGGACAGGGGGAGAGACAGGGCAAGGGGGAAAGGGAGAGGAGAGCGAGGGAAAAGGAGAGGAGAGAGAGAGAAAGGGAGCGAGAGAAAGCGAGCGAGAGCGAGCGAGAGAGAGAAAGGGAGAGCGAGAGAGAGCGAGAGAAAGGGAGAGCGAGAGAGAGCGAGCAAAAGGGAGAGAGAGCGAGCGAGAGAAAGGGAGAGAGCGAGAGAAAGGGAGAACGAGAGAGGGAAAGGGAGAACGAGAGAGGGAAAGGCGAGAGGAGAAAGAGGGAAAGGGGGAGAGAGAGAAAGAGAGCGAGGGCGAGAGAAAGUAGAGAGAGGAGAGGGAAAGGGGGAGAGAGAGAAAAGAGCGGGAGAGAGGGGAUGGGGAGAGGGGAAGAAGAUCGAGGGGAAGGGAGAGAGCGAGAGAAAGGGAAAGAGGGAAAGGGAGAGAGAAGGAGUGAGAAAAAAGUGAGAGAGGAAAAGGAGAGAUCGAGGGAAAGGGGGAGAGAGGGAGACCGAGAGAGGGAGAGAGAUAGGGCGAGGGAGAGCGAGAGGGAAAGGGAGAGAGAAAAUGAGGGGGAGAUAAAGAAAAAUAGAGAGCAAGAGAAAGGGAAAGGCAGAGAGAAGAGGGAGAGAGGGAAAAGGAGAGAGAAAAAAAGGGAGAGAGCGAGAGUGAGCGAGGGAAAAGGAGGGGGAGAGAAAGAAAAAUAGAGAGCAAGAGAAAGGGAAAGGCAGAGAGAGGAGAGGGAGAGAGGGAAAAGGAGAGAGAGAAAGAAAAAAGGGAGAGGGAAAGUUAAACAGUUGUUGCAGAGAAAAAUAUGACAGAGAGGGAGAGAGAUGUCUUUGGAUUGGCUGACAGUGUCAGUGAUAAAGCCAAUGGAUGCAAUAGCGCUAUGUGGCCACCAGAUGGAUGUUAAUUUUGUUCCAAUACCUCCAUCUGGUAGACACAUAGCGCUAUUGCAUCCAUUGGAAAGGGAGAGGGGGAGAGCGCGAGAGAAAAGGAGAGAGCAAGAGAAAGGGAGAGCGAGAAAAAUUGAUGGACAAAGAGAAAGGGAGAGAGAGGGAGAGAGCGAGAGAAAGGAAGAGAGCAAGAAAAAUUGAUGGACAAAAAAAUAGAGAAAGGGAGAGGAGAGCGAGGGAAAAGGAGGAGAGAGAGAGAGAAAGGGAGAGCGAGCGAGAGAAAGGGAGAGCGAGCGAGAG
rnacentral:lncRNA from 1 species